rnacentral:rRNA from 1 species
AGCGAACGCUGGCGGCAGGCUUAACACAUGCAAGUCGAGCGGGCACUUUCGGGUGUCAGCGGCGGACGGGUGAGUAACGCGUGGGAACGUGCCCUCUGGUUCGGAAUAACUCAGGGAAACUUGAGCUAAUACCGGAUACGCCCUUUUGGGGAAAGGCUUGCUGCCGGAGGAUCGGCCCGCGGCUGAUUAGCUAGUUGGUGAGGUAACGGCUCACCAAGGCGACGAUCAGUAGCUGGUCUGAGAGGAUGAUCAGCCACACUGGGACUGAGACACGGCCCAGACUCCUACGGGAGGCAGCAGUGGGGAAUAUUGGACAAUGGGCGCAAGCCUGAUCCAGCCAUGCCGCGUGAGUGAUGAAGGCCUUAGGGUUGUAAAGCUCUUUUAUCCGGGACGAUAAUGACGGUACCGGAGGAAUAAGCCCCGGCUAACUUCGUG